rnacentral:rRNA from 1 species
UAGCACACUCGAGGUAGACGCAGCGAACUGCAACAUCUAAGCACCUGCAGGAAGAGAACGAAAAUUCGAUUCCCUGAAUAGCUGCGACCGCACCGGGAACAGCCCAACCCAGCAACCUUGCUUGUCGGGGUUGUAGGCCUCGAAUAUGGUACAUAUUUCAGCUAGUCGAAUUACUGGGAUAAGCUAGUAGAUGAGGGUAAAAACCACGUAGACGAAAUGUGAAAGACAACUAGGAGGAUCCUGAGUAUGGCGGAACACGAGAA